UGCUUCCAAAACUGAUUACCUAGAGUAUGGGAGAGGUAGAUGGAAUUUCUGGUGUAGGGGUAAAAUCCGUAGAGAUCAGAAGGAAUACCGAUUGCGAAGGCGAUCUACUGGAACAUUACUGACGCUAAGAUGCGAAAGCGUGGGGAGCAAACAGGAUUAGAUACCCUGGUAGUCCACGCCCUAAACGAUGCACACUAGUUGUUGCUAUGCUAGACAUAGCAGUAAUGCAGUUAACACAUUAAGUGUGCCGCCUGGGGAGUACGGUCGCAAGAUUAAAACUCAAAGGAAUAGACGGGGACCCGCACAAGCGGUGGAGCAUGUGGUUUAAUUCGACGAUACGCGAAGAACCUUACCUGGCCUUGACGUAAGCAGAACAUAAUAGAGAUAUAUUGGUGCUAGUUUACUAGAACUGCUAUACAGGUGCUGCACGGCUGUCGUCAGCUCGUGUCGUGAGAUGUUGGGUUAAGUCCCGCAACGAGCGCAACCCUCGUGUCUAGUUACUAACAGUUCGGCUGAGGACUCUAGACAGACUGCCUGGGUAACCAGGAGGAAGGUGAGGACGACGUCAAGUCAUCAUGGCCCUUACGGCCAGGGCUACACACGUGCUACAAUGGGGUAUACAGAGAGCCGCAAUACCGCGAGGUGGAGCAAAUCUUCAAAAUAUCUCCCAGUUCGGAUAGCAGUCUGCAACUCGACUGCUUGAAGUUGGAAUCGCUAGUAAUCGUGAAUCAGCAAUGUCACGGUGAAUACGUUCCCGGGUCUUGUACUCACCGCCCGUCACACCAUGGGAGUUGAAUUCAUUCGAAGCGGGGAUGCUAAAGUAGCUACCUUCCACAGUGGAUUUAGUAACUAGGGG
rnacentral:rRNA from 1 species